AUACUCUCAACCUUCUUGGUUUCUUUGACCAUGAAGGCUUGGACUUUGGAGGUUUUUCUUGCUGGCCUCUUUUGAAGCCAGCUCCUCCUAAAUGAAUGGGUGGGGUCCGCUUUGCUGAUCCUCGACGUGAUAAGCAUAUCAAUAAGCGGAGGA
rnacentral:misc_RNA from 1 species